rnacentral:lncRNA from 1 species
GCAAAUCUCCAAAAUAUCACAUUUCUAAGUUUAUGUCACAAAAAUAGCCCUCAAAAACUAAAAUGACAAAAAUAGCAUUUUCUCUUUUGAAAAUUUUAAAUUUUUUUUUAUUUAAAAAAAUUUGAAAUCUUACCCAAAACCCACUCCCCAACUCUAAACCCUAAACCCUAAAUUCUAAACCCUAAAUCCUAAACCCUAAAUCCUAAACCCCACCCCUUAACUCUAAACCCUAAACCCUAAACCCCACCCAUAAACUCUAAACCCUAAACCCUAAACCCUAAAUUCUAAACCCUAAAUCCUAAACCCUAAACCCUAAAUCCUAAACCCCACUCCUUAACUCUAAACCCUAAACCCUAAACCCCACCCCUUAACUCUAAACCCUAAACCCUAAAUCCUAAACCCCACCCCUUAACUCUAAACCCCACCCCUUAACUCUAAACCCUAAACCCUAAACCCUAAACCCUAAAUCCUAAACCCCACCCCUUAACUCUAAACCCUAAUGUCUAAAUUAAGAGGCUAUAUUUGUGACAAAAACUUUUUUAGUGCUAUCCUAGUCAUUUUCUCUAUUUUAUUUGAAGAUGAAACUGAACUAUAUUAUAUAAAAAGGGCUAUUUGGAAA